GUUAUGAUUCGAGCCUCAUUUAAUUAAUAUGCAUAGCCAACUGAAGACAACUCCAAUAUAAAGUGUUUUUCCUUAAAGUUGCUGGUAUGUCACGUCUUUAUUAUAAACUUAUAUUCAAUCAAAUAAACCUCACUUAGAAAAUAUCCAUACAUUUUUUUGUUGACCAAAUUCGACAUUUUUAUUGACCUCCAUAAAAAUCGCCUUGCUUGGUGGGCGAAACAACGAAAAACGUCCCCUGCUGAAAGGAGACAAGUUUUUUUGCGGAGUUGGGCCUCUCUUCCUCUCACUGGCUGUUAUGGAAAUCACCAGCGGCGACUGCUGGGCGAUGACCAGUCAUAUCGAUGACGAAUUUGACGCUAUGCGACCCAAGGUUGGAGACCUUCUUCAGCAAAGAUGGCUGACAAAAAUACUAAGAUGGAAGCAAAUGGACUCCUGAGAAAACCAGCAAACCAGGCUGUCGUCUUGUGAAUGAGUGGAUGUGAAGAAUCUAUCUAGCUAAAGCAUUUACUGCAAAUUGAAUGUAGAAUUUUGUAAGCUUGCCUUACUGAUAUUUCCCAUGCAAUGCAGCUGAAGUAAGGUGGCUAGCUAAAUUGUUUCUUGCUUAUUGUGAAGUGGAGGAUAAAAAUACCUGUAUGCCUAUGGAUGUGUAGCUAGAUAGCCGAUCUGUGUAUGGACCCUAAAACGUUUGGUAACCUAGCUAUGAACCUCAGCUAUGAUAGCCUGUUGUAUCGACUUCAAAACAGUCUGAACGGCAUUAAUAAAGCCUAUGAAUUGAGUAGAAUAUAAUAUAUCUUUGUGCCAAGGCUGCAAAUCCUAUAUACAUAUAGUUAUUAACAAGCAUGAGAUCCCUACAUUGCAGCCUGUACAUUAAAUAUAUUCACUGAUCAUGUAUUCUACCUUGGCAAAUAAAGGUGCGGUUCAGGUA